rnacentral:rRNA from 1 species
GACGAAGGGGGCUAGCGUUGUUCGGAAUUACUGGGCGUAAAGCGCGUGUAGGCGGUUGUCCAAGUUGGAUGUGAAAGCCUUGAGCUCAACUCAAGAAAUGCAUUCAGGACUGGAUGACUAGAGGACCGGAGAGGAUAGUGGAAUCCCCAGUGUAGUGGUGAAAUACGUAGAGAUUGGGAAGAACACCAGUGGCGAAGGCGGCUAUCUGGACGGUUUCUGACGCUAAGACGCGAAAGCGUGGGGAGCAAACAGG